rnacentral:lncRNA from 1 species
AUUGGUGGAAUUCCACUCACACAAAUACAAUCACAUUAUCACACAGCUGCACACUCACAUUUUAUCCCUUCACACUAAUUUCAUAACAGAUUUGAUUCCCCACGUCCCACUCAUAUUUUUGGGGAGAUUUCUUGGAGAGCACACUCUAAAUACUUAUAUAAACAUCUAGUACAUAAAUAAAAAAGAGAGGAUUCUAACCUAGAGACCUAUACACUCCAAGAUUAGCAGCCGUAAUUCACAAUCAAGAAACGACCCCUAGGAUCAUCUUCUUCAAGCAGCCAUUUCCAUGGCUGAUCCCUAACCAAACUUAUGACCCCUUUCUCCUUCAGCACAACCUAGCCCCCUUCUAAACUUGAAAGCUUCACGGGCAGCCAUUCCCCUUGAAGAAGAGAGCUCACCCUCAUUUUCAAACAGAAGUUAAAGCCAGCAGCAACCUCCCUUCUACAUCUCCCAAACCACCAGAUAACCCCAUUAAACCAGCUGCGAAAACACAACAAAAUAGACGUUUUACCUCCAUUUUUACUGACAAGGGGAGCUCUCUUUCAGUCGUGUAAGGUCGCUGGAGCUUAAGGAAUUUUCUGGUCUAGUUUCGAGUUGUCCGGCCUCCGGCAAAUGGGUUCUAUUAGAUAUCCGGUCGAUGGUCCUAGUUGUUGUCCUAUUUCUCGAGCACAUAUGGCUUCAGUGAACUUUUCACUGAUUUAUCUUCAAUAAUAAAAAAGAAAAGGUCCCUUCUCUAACUUUCAGAUUAUUGUGUAUAUUUAUGACGUUUUUUUUGUGAAUGUUUAAUCUUAAUUUCUUGCAUCUCUGUUUGUAUGCGUUACACAUGUUUUGGAUCAUUUUCUAUUCAUUUUUUAUGAUAUUGAGU